rnacentral:rRNA from 1 species
GACGAACGCUGGCGGCGUGCUUAACACAUGCAAGUCGAACGGAAAGGCCCUGCUUUUGUGGGGUGCUCGAGUGGCGAACGGGUGAGUAACACGUGAGUAACCUGCCCUUGACUUUGGGAUAACUUCAGGAAACUGGGGCUAAUACCGGAUAGGAGCUCCUGCUGCAUGGUGGGGGUUGGAAAGUUUCGGCGGUUGGGGAUGGACUCGCGGCUUAUCAGCUUGUUGGUGGGGUAGUGGCUUACCAAGGCUUUGACGGGUAGCCGGCCUGAGAGGGUGACCGGAAACAUUGGGACUGAGAUACGGCCCAGACUCCUACGGGAGGCAGCAGUGGGGAAUAUUGCACAAUGGGCGGAAGCCUGAUGCAGCAACGCCGCGUGCGGGAUGACGGCCUUCGGGUUGUAAACCGCUUUCGCCUGUGACGAAGCGUGAGUGACGGUAAUGGGUAAAGAAGCACCGGCUAACUACGUG